UACGUAGGGGGGCAAGCGUUGUCCGGAUUUAUUGGGCGUAAAGAGCGUGUAGGCGGCUGGGUAGGUCCGUUGUGAAAACUCGAGGCUCAACCUCGAGCUGUCGAUGGAAACCAUCUAGCUAGAGUCCGGAAGAGGAGAGUGGAAUUCCUGGUGUAGCGGUGAAAAUGCGCAGAUAUCAGGAAGAACACCAAUGGCGAAAAGCAGCUCUCUGGGACGGUACUGACGCUGAGACGCGAA
rnacentral:rRNA from 1 species